rnacentral:rRNA from 1 species
UACGUAGGGUGCGAGCGUUAAUCGGAAUUACUGGGCGUAAAGCGUGCGCAGGCGGUUAUUUAAGACAGAUGUGAAAUCCCCGGGCUCAACCUGGGAACUGCGUUUGUGACUGGAUAGCUAGAGUGCGGCAGAGGGGGGUAGAAUUCCACGUGUAGCAGUGAAAUGCGUAGAUAUGUGGAGGAAUACCGAUGGCGAAGGCAGCCCCCUGGGUCGACACUGACGCUCAUGCACGAAAGCGUGGGGAGCAAACAGG